UACGUAGGGUGCAAGCGUUGUCCGGAAUCAUUGGGCGUAAAGAGCGUGUAGGCGGCCCGGUAAGUCCGCUGUGAAAGUCGGGGGCUCAACCCUCGAAUGCCGGUGGAUACUGUCGGGCUAGAGUGCGGAAGAGGCGAGUGGAAUCCCUGGUGUAGCGGUGAAAUGCGCAGAUAUCAGGAGGAACACCAAUUGCGAAGGCAGCUCGCUGGGACGUAACUGACGCUGAGACGCGAAAGCGUGGGGAGCAAACAGG
rnacentral:rRNA from 1 species